rnacentral:rRNA from 1 species
GGUUAAGCGACUAAGCGUACACGGUGGAUGCCCUGGCAGUCAGAGGCGAUGAAGGACGUGUUAAUCUGCGAAAAGCGCCGGCGAGGUGAUAUGAACCUUUGACCCGGCGAUGUCCGAAUGGGGAAACCCAGUGUGUUCCGACACACUAUCGUUAACUGAAUACAUAGGUUAACGAGGCGAACCGGGGGAACUGAAACAUCUAAGUACCCCGAGGAAAAGAAAUCAACCGAGAUUCCCCCAGUAGCGGCGAGCGAACGGGGAGCAGCCCAGAGUCUGAAUCAGCUUGUGUGUUAGUGGAAGCGUCUGGAAAGUCGCACGGUACAGGGUGACAGUCCCGUACACGAAAGCACACAGGCUGUGAACUCGAAGAGUAGGGCGGGACACGUGGUAUCCUGUCUGAAUAUGGGGGGACCAUCCUCCAAGGCUAAAUACUCCUGACUGACCGAUAGUGAACCAGUACCGUGAGGGAAAGGCGAAAAGAACCCCGGCGAGGGGAGUGAAAAAGAACCUGAAACCGUGUACGUACAAGCAGUGGGAGCCUCUUUUAUGGGGUGACUGCGUACCUUUUGUAUAAUGGGUCAGCGACUUAUAUUCUGUAGCAAGGUUAACCGUAUAGGGGAGCCGAAGGGAAACCGAGUCUUAACUGGGCGUUAAGUUGCAGGGUAUAGACCCGAAACCCGGUGAUCUAGCCAUGGGCAGGUUGAAGGUUGGGUAACACUAACUGGAGGACCGAACCGACUAAUGUUGAAAAAUUAGCGGAUGACUUGUGGCUGGGGGUGAAAGGCCAAUCAAACCGGGAGAUAGCUGGUUCUCCCCGAAAGCUAUUUAGGUAGCGCCUCGUGAAUUCAUCUUCGGGGGUAGAGCACUGUUUCGGCUAGGGGGCCAUCCCGGCUUACCAACCCGAUGCAAACUACGAAUACCGAAGAAUGUUAUCACGGGAGACACACGGCGGGUGCUAACGUCCGUCGUGAAGAGGGAAACAACCCAGACCGCCAGCUAAGGUCCCAAAGUCAUGGUUAAGUGGGAAACGAUGUGGGAAGGCACAGACAGCCAGGAUGUUGGCUUAGAAGCAGCCAUCAUUUAAAGAAAGCGUAAUAGCUCACUGGUCGAGUCGGCCUGCGCGGAAGAUGUAACGGGGCUAAACCAUGCACCGAAGCUGCGGCAGCGACACUAUGUGUUGUUGGGUAGGGGAGCGUUCUGUAAGCCGUUGAAGGUGUCCUGUGAGGGGUGCUGGAGGUAUCAGAAGUGCGAAUGCUGACAUAAGUAACGAUAAAGCGGGUGAAAAGCCCGCUCGCCGGAAGACCAAGGGUUCCUGUCCAACGUUAAUCGGGGCAGGGUGAGUCGACCCCUAAGGCGAGGCCGAAAGGCGUAGUCGAUGGGAAACAGGUUAAUAUUCCUGUACUUGGUGUUACUGCGAAGGGGGACGGAGAAGGCUAUGUUAGCCGGGCGACGGUUGUCCCGGUUUAAGCAUGUAGGCGGAGGUUCCAGGUAAAUCCGGUUCCUUGUUAACGCUGAGGUGUGAUGACGAGGCACUACGGUGCUGAAGUAACAAAUGCCCUGCUUCCAGGAAAAGCCUCUAAGCAUCAGGUAACAUCAAAUCGUACCCCAAACCGACACAGGUGGUCAGGUAGAGAAUACCAAGGCGCUUGAGAGAACUCGGGUGAAGGAACUAGGCAAAAUGGUGCCGUAACUUCGGGAGAAGGCACGCUGAUAUGUAGGUGAAGCCCCUGCGGGUGGAGCUGAAAUCAGUCGAAGAUACCAGCUGGCUGCAACUGUUUAUUAAAAACACAGCACUGUGCAAACACGAAAGUGGACGUAUACGGUGUGACGCCUGCCCGGUGCCGGAAGGUUAAUUGAUGGGGUUAGCGGUAACGCGAAGCUCUUGAUCGAAGCCCCGGUAAACGGCGGCCGUAACUAUAACGGUCCUAAGGUAGCGAAAUUCCUUGUCGGGUAAGUUCCGACCUGCACGAAUGGCGUAAUGAUGGCCAGGCUGUCUCCACCCGAGACUCAGUGAAAUUGAACUCGCUGUGAAGAUGCAGUGUACCCGCGGCAAGACGGAAAGACCCCGUGAACCUUUACUAUAGCUUGACACUGAACACUGGUCCUUGAUGUGUAGGAUAGGUGGGAGGCUUUGAAGCGUGGACGCCAGUCUGCGUGGAGCCAACCUUGAAAUACCACCCUUUAAUGGCUGGUGUUCUAACGUAGACCCGUGAUCCGGGUUGCGGACAGUGUCUGGUGGGUAGUUUGACUGGGGCGGUCUCCUCCCAAAGAGUAACGGAGGAGCACGAAGGUUAGCUAAUCCUGGUCGGACAUCAGGAGGUUAGUGCAAUGGCAUAAGCUAGCUUGACUGCGAGAGUGACGGCUCGAGCAGGUGCGAAAGCAGGUCAUAGUGAUCCGGUGGUUCUGAAUGGAAGGGCCAUCGCUCAACGGAUAAAAGGUACUCCGGGGAUAACAGGCUGAUACCGCCCAAGAGUUCAUAUCGACGGCGGUGUUUGGCACCUCGAUGUCGGCUCAUCACAUCCUGGGGCUGAAGUAGGUCCCAAGGGUAUGGCUGUUCGCCAUUUAAAGUGGUACGCGAGCUGGGUUUAGAACGUCGUGAGACAGUUCGGUCCCUAUCUGCCGUGGGCGCUGGAGAAUUGAGGGGGCUGCUCCUAGUACGAGAGGACCGGAGUGGACGCAUCACUGGUGUUCGGGUUGUCAUGCCAAUGGCACUGCCCGGUAGCUAAAUGCGGAAGAGAUAAGUGCUGAAAGCAUCUAAGCACGAAACUUGCCCCGAGAUGAGUUCUCCCUGAGACUUUAAGUCUCCUGAAGGAACGUUGAAGACUACGACGUUGAUAGGUCGGGUGUGUAAGCGCAGCGAUGCGUUGAGCUAACCGAUACUAAUGAACCGUGAGGCUUAACCUU